rnacentral:lncRNA from 1 species
GGAAUUUUCACUGUGUAUGGUUAUGUAUUUGGCUCUGGUACGAGACUUUUUGUGACAGACAAUAACGUACGAAAACCCAAAGUGACGGUCUACUCAGAGUCCAACCCUGAGUCGAAUGUGAACACCCUGCUAUGUCUGGCUGGAGACAUGUUUCCAGACUUGGUCAAGAUCUCAUGGAAGAUGGAGGAUGAAAACGGCAGAGCAGUCGAGGUGCCUAAAGCAGAGGGGGAACAACUGGAGCAGAGGGAGGAAGGACAGACGACCAGUAUGAUCAUCACUGAUAAAGAGAAGAUUUACAGGAACAAAUACAUCUGUUCUGUGGAGCAUGAAGGGGGCCCUCAAGAUGUUUACAUGCUAAAAGAUCAACCAACUGAAGCUCCGCCAACCACCGUGGCUGCACCAACCUGUUCGUUCAGAAAUGACACACAGCAGUCACAGUCUCUACAUCUUACCGAUGCAGAACCACAGUUACCGCAAGUCGCAAAGAAAACAGGAGCUACCUCCUCUAUUCCAGCACCAUUUCAACUUCAACUUCAACAUUUUCAACAUCAUCUGCUUAGUCUGAUACAGUGAC